rnacentral:rRNA from 1 species
GACGAACGCUGGCGGCGUGCUUAACACAUGCAAGUCGAACGGAAAGGCCCUGCUUUUGUGGGGUGCUCGAGUGGCGAACGGGUGAGUAACACGUGAGUAACCUGCCCUUGACUUUGGGAUAACUUCAGGAAACUGGGGCUAAUACCGGAUAGGAGCUCCUGCUGCAUGGGGGGGGUUGGAAAGUUUCGGCGGUUGGGGAUGGACUCGCGGCUUAUCAGCUUGUUGGUGGGGUAGUGGCUUACCAAGGCUUUGACGGGUAGCCGGCCUGAGAGGGUGACCGGCCACAUUGGGACUGAGAUACGGCCCAGACUCCUACGGGAGGCAGCAGUGGGGAAUACUGCACAAUGGGCGGAAGCCUGAUGCAGCAACGCCGCGUGCGGGAUGACGGCCUUCGGGUUGUAAACCGCUUUCGCCUGUGACGAAGCGUGAGUGACGGUAAUGGGUAAAGAAGCACCGGCUAACUACGUG